AGUGUAAUUGCUGGAUCUUAUGGUAAAAGGGGGUGUAGUUUUGUAAGAGACUGGCAAACUGUCUUCCAAAGUGAUCACUCUGUUUUGCAUUCCCACCAGCAAU
rnacentral:pre_miRNA from 1 species